rnacentral:rRNA from 1 species
CAAGUCGAGGGGCAGCAGGUUUGUAGCAAUACAGAUGCUGGCGACCGGCAAACGGGUGCGGAACACGUACAGAACCUUCCUUUAAGUGGGGGAUAGCCCAGGGAAACUUGGAUUAAUACCCCGUAAUAUAUAGAAGUGGCAUCACUUUUAUAUUAUAGCUCAGGCGCUUGAAGAUGGCUGUGCGGCUGAUUAGGUAGUUGGCGGGGUAACGGCCCACCAAGCCUGCGAUCAGUAACUGGUGUGAGAGCACGACCAGUCACACGGGCACUGAGACACGGGCCCGACUCCUACGGGAGGCAGCAGUAAGGAAUAUUGGGCAAUGGACGCAAGUCUGACCCAGCUAUGCCGCGUGGAGGAUGAAGGUCCUCUGGAUUGUAAACUUCUUUUAUCUGGGAAGAAACCUAUUUUUUCUAAAAUAGCUGACGGUACCAGGUGAAUAAGCACCGGCUAACUCCGUGCCAGCAGCCGCGGUAAUACGGAGGGUGCAAGCGUUAUCCGGAUUCACUGGGUUUAAAGGGUGCGUAGGUGGGUUGGUAAGUCAGUGGUGAAAUCUCCGAGCUUAACUUGGAAACUGCCAUUGAUACUAUCAGUCUUGAAUACCGUGGAGAUGAGCGGAAUAUGUCAUGUAGCGGUGAAAUGCUUAGAUAUGACAUAGAACACCAAUUGCGAAGGCAGCUCGUUACACGAAUAUUGACACUCAGGCACGAAAGCGUGGGGAUCAAACAGGAUUAGAUACCCUGGUAGUCCACGCCCUAAACGAUGGAUACUCGACAUUUGCGAUACACAGCAAGUGUCUGAGCGAAAGCAUUA